AUUUGAAUUUCAUUGGCUUAACAUUAAGUUUUAAACUUAAUAUCUAUAAAUUGAAUGUAAAAGUAGGAUAUCUUAAAAUAAUUUUAUCAGUAUUAUGAUGUCUGACAGAAAGAAUGAUUGUUAUCUAGUACACAUGCUAAUGCUUGCAGGUGUUCAAUUAUUUGAGGUACCUAUUUAGAGUGAAAAGUAGCACAUUGGACAAAAUGUUCAUUAAACAAAACACAAGUAUGUCGUCUGACAUAGAAUCUGUAUUGACACA
rnacentral:lncRNA from 1 species